rnacentral:tRNA from 1 species
GGUUUGUGGCUCAGUGGUGGAGCGCUUGCCUAGCAUGUAUGAGGCACUGGGUUCGAUCCUUAGCACCA